rnacentral:rRNA from 1 species
UGGGGAAUUUUGGACAAUGGGCGAAAGCCUGAUCCAGCAAUGCCGCGUGUGUGAAGAAGGCCUUCGGGUUGUAAAGCACUUUUGUCCGGAAAGAAAUCCUUGGCUCUAAUACAGUCGGGGGAUGACGGUACCGGAAGAAUAAGCACCGGCUAACUACGUGCCAGCAGCCGCGGUAAUACGUAGGGUGCAAGCGUUAAUCGGAAUUACUGGGCGUAAAGCGUGCGCAGGCGGUUUGCUAAGACCGAUGUAAAAUCCCCGGGCUCAACCUGGGAACUGCAUUGGUGACUGGCAGGCUAGAGUAUGGCAGAGGGGGGUAGAAUUCCACGUGUAGCAGUGAAAUGCGUAGAGAUGUGGAGGAAUACCGAUGGCGAAGGCAGCCCCCUGGGCCAAUACUGACGCUCAUGCACGAAAGCGUGGGGAGCAAACAGGAUUAGAUACCCUGGUAGUCCACGCCCUAAAACGAUGUCAACUAGUUGUUGGGGAUUCAUUUCCUUAGUAACGUAGCUAACGCGUGAAGUUGACCGCCUGGGGAGUACGGUCGCAAGAUUAAAACUCAAAUGAAUUGACGGGGUCAUAGCUGUUUCCU